rnacentral:pre_miRNA from 1 species
UAUAUACUCCCUCCGUUUGGAAAUACUUGUCAUCAAAAUGGAUAAAGGGAUGUAUCUAGAUGUAUUUUAGUUUUAGAUACAUCCCUUUUUGUCCAUUUUGAUGACAAGUAUUUUCGGACGGAGGGAGUAUAAU